UUGAGGACAAUGUUUAGUUUAGGUAUGGGGGGGAAACAAUAUUCUUUCCAUUCUCAUUUUUCAAAUAUGUACUCUCCCUUUCAUUGUUAUUUCCCUUUUUUUUCCCUAUAUAUAAAAAUAAAAAAUAAAAAAUAAAAUAAAAAAUAAAAUAAAAAUAAAAAUAAAAAUAAAUAUAUAUAUAUUUAUUUUAAGUUAAGUUCCGUGUGAAAAUUUUC
rnacentral:lncRNA from 1 species